UUUUGGAGGGUGAGCCAUGGUAUGGUGGGAAAGUUGCUACACGAGUUGAAGUCAGGAGUUUCAACUAUAGUAAAAAUCUCUCUGCAAUGGAAAGAGAAGGUUAUGUGCACUGUGACAUCCUUUUUGCUAUGGUGCCACUAAUAAUCUUGAUUGUAGGUGAUGUGAGUAACCCAUUUUUGUAAUAAGCUUGAAAACCUAGGUUUGCACAAACCAUUUUUAGUUAAGUCCUUGAUAUGUAUGUGUGUUAUAGCUGAAAAACAAGGUUUGCAAAAAAGUGGUUUUGCAAGUGCUUGAAUGGUUGUUGUGAACUUUUUUGUUUGUAGCUUUUAUGUUUAUCAUAUUUCAUCUCAAAAUUAAUAUUUUAUAUUAGGUUCUUAUGGCACUGCUUGUGUAGCUACUAUUGAGAAAAAAACUCGUAAAAAUUUUGGUUAAAAGCAAUGAAAUUUCUUUCAAUGUGAUUUUGGCAAGUUUUGGCCUUACUCUAAAACAGCUCAAAGGCAAUUUCUAACUACU
rnacentral:misc_RNA from 1 species